rnacentral:rRNA from 1 species
GCGCGCUUAACACAUGCAAGUCGAACGAGGUUAUUGUUUUCGGAUGAUAACUUAGUGGCGCACGGGUGAGUAACGCGUGGGAAUCUGCCCUUUGCUACGGAACAACCACGGGAAACUGUGGCUAAUACCGUAUAAUGCAAUAUCGCAAGAUGUUGCCAAAGAUUUAUCGGCGAAGGAGGAGCCCGCGUUAGAUUAGCUUGUUGGUGGGGUAACGGCCUACCAAGGCUUUGAUCUAUAGCUGGUCUGAGAGGACGAUCAGCCACACUGGGACUGAGACACGGCCCAGACUCCUACGGGAGGCAGCAGUGGGGAAUCUUGGACAAUGGGGGAAACCCUGAUCCAGCGACGCCGCGUGGGUGAAGAAGGCCUUAGGGUUGUAAACCCCUUUCACCGGGGAGGAUGAUGACGUUACCCGGAGAAGAAGCACCGGCUAACUCCGUGCCAGCAGCCGCGGUAAGACGGAGGGUGCUAGCGUUGUUCGGAAUCACUGGGCGUAAAGGGCGCGUAGGCGGCUUGGUCAGUCAGAUGUGAAAGCCCAGGGCUCAACUCUGGAACUGCAUUUGAUACUUCCAAGCUAGAGGUCGAAAGAGGAGAGUGGAAUACCCAGUUAGAGGUGAAAUUCGUAGAUAUUGGGUGGAACACCAGUGGCGAAAGCGGCUCUCUGGUUCGAAUCUGACGCUGAGGCGCGAAAGCGUGGGGAGCAAACAGGAUUAAAUACCCUGGUAGUCCACGCCCUAAACGAUGUGUGCUAGGCGUUGGGGGGCUUGCCCUUCAGUGCCGGAGCUAACGUGUUAAGCACACCGCCUGGGGAGUACGGUCGCAAGAUUAAAACUCAAAGGAAUUGACGGGGGCCCGCACAAGCGGUGGAGCAUGUGGUUUAAUUCGACGCAACGCGCAGAACCUUACCAGCCCUUGACAUGGUGGUUACGAUUUCCAGAGAUGGAUCUCUCAGUUCGGCUGGACCAUCACAGGUGCUGCAUGGCUGUCGUCAGCUCGUGUCGUGAGAUGUUGGGUUAAGUCCCGCAACGAGCGCAACCCUUGCCUUCAGUUGCCAUCGGGUAGGGCCGGGCACUCUGAAGGAACUGCCGGUGACAAGCCGGAGGAAGGUGGGGAUGACGUCAAGUCCUCAUGGCCCUUAUGGGCUGGGCUACACACGUGCUACAAUGGCGGUGACAAUGGGCAGCGAAAGCGCGAGCUGGAGCUAAUCCCCAAAAACCGUCUCAGUUCGGAUUGUACGCUCCAACUCGCGUGCAUGAAGGUGGAAUCGCUAGUAAUCGUGGAUCAGCACGCCACGGUGAAUACGUUCCCGGGCCUUGUACACACCGCCCGUCACACCAUGGGAGUUGGUUUUACCCGAAACCGGUGGGCUAACCGCAAGGAGGCAGCCGUUCACGGUAAGGUCAGCGACUGGGGUGAAGUCGUAACAAGGUA